UGAAAAUUCAAAGAGUACCAUGUGAGAACUUAUACAACGGUCAGCAAUGGGAGCAGCCACAGUUUGGAGGAUGACCAGUGGGGACUGGGAACUGUUUAAAAUGGGUUAAAUAUCCUGCUCAAGCAGAUACAGUGAAUGUUGCUCUGUGGAAGGGUAUGAAGCAAAUUCAGACAUAACCAGCUUCAAACUCUCUAGCCCUUCAUCAUCUUCAUCACUGGCCAGAGCUGUUAGCAGAAAGACAGCUCAAUACUUGGCCUAGGAAGUGAGCCAUGCUUUGGAGAGGCUGAAACACUGUGAUGCCAUCGCCAGCCUCAGCUGUGUAGAUAGGCGACAGGCCUCCAUAUUCAGUUGAAGUGGCAGGCAUGGGGUAUACAGACCAGAGGUUUUUCUCUGUGAGUUCCAUUUGUGAUUAGAAGAACGCAAAGGGGAUGAGGUAGGAGACCUGGGCACAGGCUGUGUCUCUGCUGAGGGUCCUUUCCCACCCUUUCUCCUCAGCCCAUUCCAGUGCAGGCUCUGUGGCCCAGCAGCCACUGGACAACACUCUCCUCUACUGAGUGCUGCCCUGACACAAACAACUGCCUUCAAGCUUCUAAAGAAAAAAAAAAAAACAACAGAAAAAUAGCAUCUUACAUAAAGCAUCUGGAGAAGAAGCUUCAAAGGCUUGUUCCAGCAGAAAAAGUUGAGUAUGUCUCUUUACUCAUGGUGUGAGGGGCAGUGCUGAGGGGACAGGCAUUUAUUAUGGGGCACAUUCUUAAAGCUUUGCUUCUCCUUUCUAUUUUUUUCCUGACAUUUGCUGUUUUAUACUCUCUGGCAAGCAGCAGAGCUCCACCGAUGCUGACUUGCAUAGCCCAUAGAGAUACUAAGGAAAUAUUUUUCUUAGCAACAAGCGGCACAUGAAAACACCAAGAAAGGCUUCCCUUGCUCAUAUUUCACUUCAGCUUUUUCAGUCAUCUGGUGCUGAGAUAAGAGCUGAGUGGUGAAACUUGUUACUACCAUGCUGAAAUAGUGUUCACAGAUGGCGAAAGGCUUUGUCAACACCAGCAAAUCACUACUUCUGCCUCCGCAAGUAUGCCCUACACUUUGGCCAAAAGUGAUGUGUUAUUCAGAAAGCAGGAAAGCAGAUACUGCGCAAGUAAUUCACUAUUUUAGUAUAAAAGGGGGAAGCAAAUUUAUUAUCAUUUUCCUUACAACACAUUUAAAUUUGAUAGAAGGGUCUUAAAAAGUGCAAAAGUGAGAGCCAGCUACCUACAGAUUACUUUUUUUUUUUUUUCCCCUCAAUCUUUUCAUUCAGUGCAGCCAAGUCAUCUCUUUUAGUAAACUGCUGAGUCAACACGUUUUAAACCACAACUGUUUCUUAUUUCUAUAUAGUUAACUGAUAAGGACCUGUUUAAGGGUUACACCCUUCCGUAUUUACACUGUUAAGGCAAACAUGGUUAUAGGUACAAUUACAUUUAAAAUU